rnacentral:sRNA from 1 species
CAGAUGACUUUCACACGACCUGCCAAUCACAGACAACUCACUUUUGAAGAAAUUGCCAAAAGUGCUAAAAUCACAGUGAAUGAGGUACGGUCCCUAGGCUCAGGGUGUUAGAGCAGCAAAGCUGCCACAUAGAGGAGUCAAGGCUCUUGUGUGAGCACUGUGCUCCCUAGACAAUAAAAAAUGAUGGGAGGAGUGGCAUCUGCUUCUCAGAAGCCAUCUGGGUCCAUGGGGGUGUGUCAGGCUAUCUUGUCUUACACACGCCCCCAUCUCUGCACAGGUGGAGCUCCUGGUGAUGAAGGCCCUUUCGGUGGGGCUGGUGAAAGGCAGUAUAGAUGAGGUGGACAAACGAGUCCACAUGACCUGGGUGCAGCCCCGAGUGUUGGAUUUGCAACAGAUCAAGGGAAUGAAGGACCGCCUGGAGUUCUGGUGCACGGAUGUGAAGAGCAUGGAGAUGCUGGUGGAGCACCAGGCCCAUGACAUCCUCACCUAGGGCCCCCUGGUUCCCCG